GCGCACGCCGGUCUGCUUACGAGGAUGCGUCUCUCCUGCUUGGGUCCUUUGGGGCGUGUGGGCAGCCUACGCUUUCCGGAGUUGCUGAAGAAAUGAAGGUCCAGAAGGGAGUGAUGGAGAAUGAGAGGAGUGGCUAACCAGGCUUUCUGAAAGAUUGGUGUGGUGGACAAGUCAGAGCUGGUUACGGAAACCUGGAAAACAGGCACAUCCAGCUGCUGAGGUGUGGAGAAGCUCGUGUCUGGGGCACCCUGCCAUUUCUCAGGACACCCUCCUGCUCCUAGCUGACAUCCAGCAUCCUCAUGAAUGCAGGGCCCAGGGUCACCAACUGUUCCGCCUGCUACCCCAGCCCUGCGCCCACAGCUCACCCAGCAGGGACUGGAUGGUGCUGCUGCACUGCUGGAGCCGGUCGCCCGGGUCAGAGGUUGGGAAGAAGACAGCCGCUGGUAAGCCACUGGCCGGGGGGUCCAGCCGGAAGCCCACAGCAGUGAGGAGGGUCUGCCAGCCAGGGAUGCCGCCCACUUUGUUCUCCACGCUCUGCUGGGACGUGUACAUGGCGUUGCGCUGCCCAUUCUGGAUGCGCUGCAGGGACUUCUCCACCUGGGGGAGUUGGGGGUGCCUAACUUACUGAGAAUCCCGCCUGCCAUCAUGAGCUCUUGAAAAUCAGGACUGGAUGGUGGGAGUCCCGAGAGGACUGCAGGAGGAGGAGGCCCCGACAUGGCAGAGUGGACAGAGGCCGUGGAACCUGGGACAGCCAGCCUGCUCCACAAUCCUCGUUCCCACAGACCUCUCUGUGGGGCUCCUAAGAGGAGGCCCAGUCCUGGGAGUCAGGGGGCCUUGAGAAGUGAUUCUAUUUAAAUGGUGCAAGCAAGCAAACCACUCCUGGCGGGAGAGGGCUAAACAAAGUCCUCUAAGAAGCUCUGUAUACUGACAAAAUUCUAGUUCCCUUCCGCCUUACAUGCUGCAAAGUAAACAGUAUCACUGAAUGAGAAAAUCAGCAUAAAGAAGCCCAGUCACGUCUCUGAAUUUCCACUAUGAUGACUUUUGAUACUUUUUGGGAAACAUUAAGUAUGAAGUAUUUCAAAAUAACUUUUUAGUGCCUCUGCUUGGUGAUUCCUUAAACUCUGGGUAAGAGAAACACCAGGUGCCUGGAGGAGAUGGCCUCUUCCAGGUCUCUGGUUAAGCUACCACCAGCUAGCUAGCUGGCUGUUGUCAUCGAAAUAAAAGCUUUCUGAAGGUG